AUGAGAUUAAAAUUAUUAAAUAUAAUUUUAUCAAUAAUAAAUAAACUUAAUAAUAAUAAUAAUAUUAUUAUUAAUAAUCUAUUAGAUUCAUUAAUAAAUAAGAAAUUAUUAUUAAAGAAUAUAUUAUUAGAUAUAAAUAAUAAAAAAAUAAAUAAUAUAAAAAGAAUAUUAAAUAAUAAUAAUAUAAAUAUUAAUAAUAAAUUACAACAUUUAAAUAAUAUAAAUAAUUGAAAUCUACAAAUUUAUAAUUAUAAUAAAAAUAUAGAAAUUAUAAAUACUAUAAAUGAUAAAUUAAUUAAUAAAUUAUUAUAUAAAAUAAUAACUUUAAAAUUAAAUAAUAUAAAUAUUAAUAAAAUUAUUAUAAGUAAACUUAUUAAUCAACAUAGUUUAAAUAAAUUAAAUAUUAAAUUUUAUUAUUAUAAUAAUGAUAUUAAUAAUAAUAAUAAUAAUAAUAAUAAUAAUAAUAAUAAUAAUUAUUAUAUAAAUAUAAUAAAUAAAUUAAUAAAUAUUAUAAAUAAUAAUAUAAAUAAUAAUUUAUGUAAUAUUUUAAGUUAUUAUUAUAAUAAAAAAGUAACUAUUGAACCUAUUAAAUUAUCAUAUAUUUAUUUAAAUAGUGAUAUUUUUAGUAAAUAUAUUAGUUUAAAUGAUAUAGAUAAAUAUAAUAAUGGUAUCUUAACUAAUUAUCAACGUAUAUUAAAUAAUAUUAUGCCUAAAUUAAAUGAUCAUAAUAUUUCUAUAAAUUAUAUUAAUAAUAUUAAUAAUAUUAAUAAUAAUAAAUAUAAUAAUAUAAUUAAUUUAUUAAAUAAUAAUAAUAAUAUUAAUAAUUAUAAUAAUUAUAAUAAUUAUAAUAAUAAUAAUAAUAAUAAUAAUUAUAUUGGUAAUAUUAAUAAUAUUUAUAAUAAUAUAACUAUUGAUAAUAUUCCUAUAGAUAUUUUAAUAUAUAAAUAUUUAGUUGGUUGAUCUAUUAAAUUUAAAGGUAGAUUAAGUAAUAAUAAUGGUAGAACUAGUACACUUAAUUUAUUAAAUGGUACUUUUAAUAAUAAAAAAUAUUUAUGAAGUAAUAUUAAUAAUAAUUAUAAAUUAAAUUAUAUCCCUUCUAAUCAUAAUUUAUAUAAUAAUUCUAAUAUUAAUAAAAAUGGUAAAUAUAAUAUUAAAGUUAAAUUAAACUUUAUUUAA
rnacentral:rRNA from 1 species